rnacentral:lncRNA from 1 species
CUAAACUGUGGGUCUCUGGCUCCUCUAAUUUUCCCCCACCCCGUAGGCCCAGCCUCCAGGGCUGCCAUGUCUUCCCCUCCCAGCUCUGCUCUGGAGGCCUGAUUCUCUGGGAGGCUGUUGGGCUCACCAUUGGGAAAGGCCAUCCUUAGGUCACGUGGGGCCAUAAGCAAUACCAGCCUCCUCCUCCUGCCAUUUUGCACAUCAGGAGAUACACCAGGAACCUCAGUGUCUCUCUUUCUCUCUCUAGCCUGGUCUCUGGGACCUAGGUCAGGAGGGCAUGAUGCUUUCAAAUAGAAGAAGAAAUCUCCAAUUCUUUUGCCCUCUGUCUUUGCAAGCCCUAUCUUUUAUAUUCACUUCCUCUGACUUCUCAGUAAACAUUGGUUUGAAAGUGAAUGGUAUUAUCAGCUGCCA